GUCGAUCAUGGCUCAGAUUGAACGCUGGCGGGAUGCUUUACGUAUGCAAGUCAGAACAACAGCUGGACUUCGGUCUGGUGGCGAGUGGCGAACGGGUGAGUAAUGUAUCCGGAACGUGCCUAGUAGCGGGGAUAACUACGCGAAAGCGUAGCUAAUACCACAUACGCCCGCCGGGGAAAGCAGGGGACGCUUCGGGCCUCACACUGUGCGACGGCCGAUAUCGGAUUAGCUGAGUUGGUGAGGUAACGGCUCACCAAAGGCGUGAUCCGUAGCUGGUUUGAAGGACGACCAGCCACACUGGGACUGAGACGCAGCCCAGACUCCUACAGGAGGCAGCAGUGGGAAUUUGGACAAUGGAAACCCUGAUCCCAGCCAUCCCGCGUGUGCGAUGAAGGCCUUCGGGUUGUAAAACACUUUUAGCGGGAAAGAAACGGCACGGGAUAAUACCCCACGUGCAACUGACGGCCACCUGCAGAAUAAGCACCGGCUAACUACGUGCCAGCAGCCGCGGUAAUACGUAGAGGGUUGGCGAUUAAUCGGAAUUGCCUGGGCGUAAAGCGUGCGCAGGCGGUUCGGAAGAAAGAUGUGAAAUCCAGAGCUUAACUUUGGAACUGCAUUUUUAACUACCGAGCUAGAGUGUGUCAGAGGAGGUGGAAUUCCGCGUGGCAGUGAAAUGCACGUAGAUAUGCGGAGGAACACCGAUGGCGAAGGCAGCCUCCUGGGGAUAACGCUGACGCUCAUGCACGAAAGCGUGGGAGCAAAACAGGAUUAGAUACCCUGGUAGUCACGCCUAAACGAUGUCAACUAGCUGUUGGAACCUUCGGAGCCUUGGUAGCGCAGCCCCAACGCGUGAAGUUGACCGCCUGGGGAGUACGGUCGCAAGAUUAAAACUCAAAGGAAUUGACGGGGACCCGCACAAGCGGUGGAUGAUGUGGAUUAAUUCGAUGCAACGCGAAAAACCUUACUGCCUUGACAUGUGGAAUCCCGAAGAGAUUUGGGAGUGCUCGCAAGAGAACCGGAGCUUACAGGUGCUGCAUAGCUGUCGUCAGCUCGUGUCGUGAGAUGUUGGGUUAAGUCCCACCAACGAGCGUAACCCUUGUCGCCAUUAGUUGCUACGAAAGGGCACUCUAAUGAGACUGCCGGUGACAAACCGGGUGAAGGUGGGGAUGACGUCAAGUCCUCAUGGCCCUUAUGGGGUAGGGCUUCACGUCAUACAAUGAGGUGGGACGGAAGGUCGCUAACCCGCGAGGAGACCGUCGAAACCCGAUCGUAGUCCGGAUCGCAGUCUGCAACUCCGACUGCGUGAAGUCGGAAUCGUAUGUCGCGGAUCAGCAUGUCGCGGUGAAUACGUUCCCAGGGUCUUGUACACACCGCCCGUCACACCAUGGGAGUGGGUUUUACCAAGUAGUUAAGCCCUAGCCAUCAAGGAGGGCGAUUACCACGGUAGGAUUCAUGACUGGGGGUGAAGUCGUAACGGGUAG
rnacentral:rRNA from 1 species